ACCUGGAUCUCAGUUGGUAGAGCAUGAGGCUCUUAAUCUCAGGGACGUAGGUUCGAGUUCUACGCUGGGCA